ensembl:lncRNA
GGUUAGGAAACUGAGGCUGAGAGAAUUCAGUUCUUUUCAGGGUCCUAUAAGGAAGAGAGAUAGACACGUUUGAAACCAGUGAAAGAAUUCCUUGAUGGAUCCAAUCCAAAACAUAUUUCAGGCAAAGCUGAACUCAAAUCAAGGAAAAGUCUAAGUCCGAAAAUCCAAUGGGAGUAAAAGGAACACAGAGAAGAAUACUUGUUGUUGACAGGAGACAUUAAAAACACAAAGUGCAAAAGAAAAAUGUAAGAAGAAAUGUGCACUCACUAGGACACAGGCUUUAUUGGAGAAUCAAAGAAUAGACACACUAAGUGCUCACAGGGUAGAGAUCACAUCGCAGAUUACAGACGGGCACAUGGCAAAAGGCGAUCAGGUGAUGAUCCUGCUGCUCUUUAUCCAACAAGGUGGUGUCAGCUUCAGGAAGCAAGCCUUUUCUCUGUCAGCUGUCGGUUGAGGAGGGAGGUUAAGGAAGACGAAAUCCAUCACCAUGGCCGAAGGGAGGACAACGGGAGAGCCUGGAUCUUGUUGUUUCUUGGUCCAGAUGAAAUCUGGUGCUGUUACUUCCACUUGGGUGGACACUUCUGCUCACAGGGUGGGCAAGGCUCAUGGCACUUGGGUGGGCACACUAUUGGAGGUGGAUGGCAGGGCUCCUUGCACUGAUGGUGAUGCUGAUGCUGAUGCUUUUGCGGAUGUGGAUGUGGAUGCGGAUGCGGAUGGUGAGACAUACUUCCCCGGGUCUCAAGGAAUCUGAAAUACAAACAGCAUUGUUAACAGAAAGUCCUAUUCUUCCAUUAAUAGGGAGCCCUCUUCUACCACUUUCCAAAGAAAAAUUACUUGCACAAAUGUUGUGUGAAUACAAGCACACUCUGAAGAAGAAUAAUCAGGAUGUGAAACUUCUAGCCAAUCUCAAAAACAUCUCUACUAAUUUCUCCCUUGAGGUUCUGGUUGCUGGUCUAACUGACUUGACUGUUGGCUUCCAAGGAGAAACGCAAAGGCCCACAUGCAGCACUCAGUGGAACUGCAGGCUGAGAAGACUUCAUUUGCAAUGAAUGCAGGGUGCACUGAAACACGGCAUCUCAUCUCCCUGACUCUCCCUAGGUUAAGAUUGUGCCGCUGACUCCAUUCCUCUCGUCUCCUUUAAGAGCACAUUUAAGAUGUCAAGAACAAGAUUAAAACUACCCCUAAAUUCUCAUUAUCUUCUUAUUCCCAUAGAGAGCACUAAUUUGUUAAAAUACAGCCACUUCUACCCUAAGACUAUACCCUACCACACAAGUGCUAAAAACAUCUAAAACUGUACGCACCAGAGGCUCCAAAUAAGACCUAUGACUGAGUAGCACAAAGAUAGCAGUAUGGUGGUAGAGACUCCUUUUAUAAGGACCAGGCAGCUCCACCCAGAGGGAAUAUCCCAGAUCUGGCA